UACGAAGGGGGGCUAGCGUUGUUCGGAAUUACUGGGCGUAAAGCGCGUGUAGGCGGGUCUUUAAGUCAGGGGUGAAAUGCCAAGGCUCAACCUUGGAACUGCCUUUGAUACUGGAGACCUUGAGUCCGGGAGAGGUGAGUGGAAUUGCGAGUGUAGAGGUGAAAUUCGUAGAUAUUCGCAAGAACACCAGUGGCGAAGGCGGCCUCACUGGACCCGGAACUGACGCCGUA
rnacentral:rRNA from 1 species